UACUUUUAUUUUACACAUUCAUGCAAACAUUUCAUGUAAGUAUUCUUCCUUAGAACCUUUAAUGAUUUUUCAGUGAUGCAUGUAGUAUAUAAUAAUUAAAAUUAGGCCAGGCACAGUGGCUCACACCCGAAAUCCCAGCGCUUUGGGAGGCCAAGAUGGGAGAAUUGCUUCAGCUCAGGAGUUCAAGACUGGCCUGAGCAACAUGGCAAAACCUCAUCUCUACUAAAAAUACAAAAAAUAGUUGGGCGUGUUGGUGAAUGCCUGUAGUCUCAGCUACUCAGGAGGCUGAGGUGGGGAAAUGGUUUGAGCAUGAAAGGCAGAGGUUGUAGUGAGCUGAGAUUGUACCACUGCACUCCAUCCAGCCUGGGUGACAAAGUGAGACCCUGUCUCAAAAAAAAACGAAAAACAUAUCGGGGGAACCCACCCCCAAUAUUUCAACAUAGGUUUUUUUCUGUUUUCCGUGUCAGCCAGCUGAGAAAGAGAAAGAGUACUAAGAGAGGAAUUUUACAGCCGGGCCACCAGGGGUGAGAUCACAUAUUGGUAGGACUGUGAUGCCCACGCGAGCCUCAAAACCAGCAAGUUUUUAUUAAGGAUUUCAAAAGGGGAGGGGGUGUACAAACAGGGUGUAGGUAGGUACAAAGAUCACAUGCUUCAAAGGGCAAAAAGCAUAACAAAGUUCACAUGCUUCUGAGGAAACAGGACAAAGGGCAAAAGGCAGAACUUCUGAUAAGGGUCUAUGUUCAGUGGUGCACCUAUUGUCUUGAUAAACAUCUUAAACAACAGAAAACAGGGUUUGAGAGCAGGUCUGACCACAAAUUUAACAGGGUGGAGUUUCCCAAUCCUAGUAAGCCUGAGGGUACUGCAGGAGACCAGGGCAUCUCAGUCCUUAUCUCAACCACAUAGGACAGACAUUUCCAGAACGGCUGUUUAUAGACAUCCCCCCCGGGAAUGCAUUCCUUCCCCAGAGUAUUAAUAUCAAUAUUCCUUGCUAGGAAAAGAAUUUAGCGAUAUCUUCCCUACUUGCAAGUCUGUUUGUAGGCUCUCUGCAAGAAGAAAAAUAUGGUUCUUUUUGCCCAACCCCGCAGGCAGUCAGACCUUAUGGUUGUCUUCCCUUCUUCCCUAAAAAUCGCUGUUAUUCUGUUCUUUUUCAAGGUGCACUGAUUUCAUAUUGUUCAAACACAUAUGUUUUACAGUCAAUCUUUACAGUUAACACAGUUAUCACAGUGGUUCUGAGGUGAUGUACAUCCUCAGCAUAUGAAGAUAGCAGGAUUAAGAGAUUACAGGUGUAAUAAAUUAUGAAAGUAUUAUUUGCGAAUUGAUAAAUGUCCAUAUUAAAAUAAAAUCUUGACAAUUUAUGUUUCUCUGCCACGGCUCCAGCUACUCCUUCCGUUUGGUGUCCUUGACUUCCCACAACAAACUCCCAAGAAAUCCUAUGCACUCAAGAUACCUUUUAGGGUUUCCAAUGGUGUAUGGUUUCAAAACUGCUGUUCUUUCUGUACUUACUUCCUGUUGAAUUAAAGUGUCUUUGAGAGGCAAGAGAGUAUGUUGUUUGUUCCCAGUCCACCAGCCUAUCAGCCUGGCAUGAUAGAUACACUCUAUGAGGCUGACGGGCCCUUACUUGAUUCUUUUGUCCAGUGAAAAUGUCUAUAACAAGCAUCCUGGAGGGAUACUGUCUGUGAAACCUGCUUAGCUGAGGACUGGCUGUGUGUGUGCCUCCAGACCAAUCAUAUGUUUGUUUUGAGAUACAUUUUUCGGAGAAAGAACUGCUGAGUAUGGGGCUCAGGCUCCCAUGUUUGAAUAAGCCCUCAAGUGACACUGAUGCUAAAGUUUGCAAAGCACUGCUCUAGAAGUUUCAGGAGGUCCCAGGGUCAGGCACCUGCUGAGGAGGAAGAGUUGUUCCUGGGAUUCCAUGCCUAUUCUCAAUCAAAAACUCAAACUUAGGAAAGCCAGUGAGGUUUGUUUUCGCCUUACGUCAGGGGUGGGGUUGGAUUUACCAUUUCUUUGACUCCUUCAAUAUUUUAGGUAACUUUUCAGGUCACACAAAACGGACUGAUUUUCCUGUGGAAGACCUCACAGGAGUUCUCUUGAACCAGGAGACUGUUUUGAGCUGAAAUACCUGGAGCCCUCUCAAGCUAUUGGGCCUUUCAAUUUGAAACCGAGGUUUGGAUGAUUCUAAGCCCUAUGGCAGAGACUGUAAUUUUCUCUUCACCCUCAGGGUGGGGACUCACCCUCAGGGUUGGGAGUGACUGCUGUCUCUCAAGCCCCCACCAAUUACACCAUGUUCUGGUUGUUAAAAUCCAGUGUAUGCAUGAAAUGUAAUAAAAGUAUCUUUGCAGCA